AUUGAACGCUGGCGACAUGCCUUACACAUGCAAGUCGAACGGCAGCACGGGUGCUUGCACCUGGUGGCGAGUGGCGAACGGGUGAGUAAUACAUCGGAACAUGUCCUGUAGUGGGGGAUAGCCCGGCGAAAGCCGGAUUAAUACCGCAUACGAUCUACGGAUUAAAGCGGGGGACCUUCGGGCCUCGCGCUAUAGGGUUGGCCGAUGGCUGAUUAGCUAGUUGGUGGGGUAAAGGCCUACCAAGGCGACGAUCAGUAGCUGGUCUGAGAGGACGACCAGUCACACUGGGACUGAGACACGGCCCAGACUCCUACGGGAGGCAGCAGUGGGGAAUUUUGGACAAUGGGCGAAAGCCUGAUCCAGCAAUGCCGCGUGUGUGAAGAAGGCCUUCGGGUUGUAAAGCACUUUUGUCCGGAAAGAAAUCCUUGGCCCUAAUACGGUCGGGGGAUGACGGUACCGGAAGAAUAAGCACCGGCUAACUACGUG
rnacentral:rRNA from 1 species